CCUACGGGAGGCUGCAGUGGGGAAUAUUGCACAAUGGGGGAAACCCUGAUGCAGCGACGCCGCGUGAGUGAAGAAGUAUUUCGGUAUGUAAAGCUCUAUCAGCAGGGAAGAAAAUGACGGUACCUGAUUAAGAAUCCCCGGCUAACUACGGUCCAGCAGCCGCGGUAAUCCGUAGGGGGCAAGCGUUAUACGGAUUUACUGGGUGUACAGGUAGCGUAGACGGCAGCGCAGGUCUGAAGUGAAAUUCCCGGGCUUAACCCCGGAACUGCUUUGGAAACUGUGCAGCUGGAGUGCAGGAGAGGUAAGUUGAAUUCCUAGUGUAGCGGUGAAAUGCGUAGAUAUUAGGAGGAACACCAGUGGCGAAGGCGGCUUACUGGACUGUAACUGACGUUGAGGCUCGAAAGCGUGGGGAGCAAACAGGAUUAGAUACCCUAGUAGUC
rnacentral:rRNA from 1 species